GCCAGUGAUAAACUGGAGGAAGGUGGGGAUGACGUCAAGUCAUCAUGGCCCUUACGACCAGGGCUACACACGUGCUACAAUGGCAUAUACAAAGAGAAGCGACCUCGCGAGAGCAAGCGGACCUCAUAAAGUAUGUCGUAGUCCGGAUUGGAGUCUGCAACUCGACUCCAUGAAGUCGGAAUCGCUAGUAAUCGUAGAUCAGAAUGCUACGGUGAAUACGUUCCCGGGCCUUGUACACACCGCCCGUCACACCAUGGCAGUGGGUUGCAAAAGAAGUAGC
rnacentral:rRNA from 1 species